rnacentral:lncRNA from 1 species
CCACGCCGCCGCCCCCGGAGGGGGGGGGACACGGGGCGAAGUCCUCCAAGGGCGCCGCUAAACUCGGCAAGAGAGGGAAGGCAAGGGCGACGGGCCGGCGGCUCCCCUCGGAGCUCCGGGCAGGGCAGGCGGGCUCCUCCNNNNNCUCGCCUCCGUUGCCGCUCGGGAGGGGGGGGGGGGUUGUCACAAGCCGGCGGUGGGACAGAAGCGCUCUCCGGCAAAUGGGGCGCGGCCGCUCGGCCCCGUCCUCCCCGGGGCGCGAGCGUCUUAUUCGCCGGAAUUUUCUUUCUCUCUCUCUCUCUCUUUGUAAUUACAAGCCUGCUUGCUUGCUUGCUUGUUUGAUUUGCAAGUUGCGAUCUCCCCCCCCCCCAAGUAUUUGGCGGCCCCGGGCAAAGGGUAGCCAAACCGCGCGCACCGCCUAGGGUGGGCAGCGCUUGGCUUCGCAGCCUGUUGCCGAUCCUGGCAUUCAACACGUGGAAGUAAGAGAGGCGCCAGGGGAGGACGGGAAGGUGCCAAAAGUGACCCUUCGGUCGCCACCACCGCUCCCUGACGCUUCUAGAAUAGGAGAUCUCGUUGAAUCCGUAAGAGAGCGACCGGGUGCUGGCAAAUAAUCGGGGGCCGAAAAUGUGCCUUUUAAAAGAGCAAUCAAAAGCAAAGCUAAAGAAAACGAGGCGGGUCACUCAGCGGUCCUCCCAGCGCAGGCGAAGAAGCGUGUAUACAGAGACUUGCGAGGGAGAUUUGUCACCACCUCUCUCCCAGUUUUCCUCUGUUUUUCUCCGCCUAGGGGGAUCCCCGCCCUCGCCCCCCCUUUUCCUCGCAAGAAAAUGCAAGCUGCGUUUUCCGCAGGAAAGGCCGGCAAUUUCGUCCUUGUCGCGGUUCCCACGCAGCUCCCGGCUCCCGCGCCGCCGCCUUUCCCCUCGGACGGCUCUGCUUUUCGGCCGGGGCCUCGCAGGAGCGGAGCGCGACCCAGUCCUGUCCCGACGCUGGCCCGGGCCCAGGGAGGGCUGGGCGGGAGAGCCUGUGAACUCCUCGGAAGCAAGGUCUUGUGAUAACCAUGGUGACGCAACAUCUAUGUACACAAAUGCCUCAGGCAAAGAAAAAAGUAUCUAAGUGCAUCAGCAAAAAAUGGGGGGGGGAAUCUCUUUUGAGAAACUGAACUGUAAUUGGACAGAUACAAGACUGAAGAAACGAAUCCUUUGCAUAAACGAAGGGAAGAUGGCAAAUAAAGGAAAGCUUUGCACAAAGUGGCA